UUUUUUCGCAAUUUCGUGACGUGAGAACUACAGCUUUUUGUGAUUUGUUAUUCCUUUUCGUGCGUUUUUGUGAUUGGAUAGUCUGCUUUUCAUGAUACUUUAACGAAAUGCUCUGGAAAGCAGCUGAUGGUGGAUUAUCUUCUAUCGCUUGAAGCAGCACUGGAAUGGUAGUUUCCCUAGUGGCUGGACAAGACUAUAAACUUUUGGCAAACAACCCCUUGAAUUUGGUAACUAUACUAAUAGCUGAGGUUACCUGUGGAAUGGCGUUCUCCAGUACUGGAAGCCGCAUUAAAAGGGAUAUUCUGAAAAUCGGUUUCCUCCAGAGUUCUGCAUAUAUAUAACCGGUAUGCUUGAUUAAGGAACAUAUGCUGCUGUGUCCAGCGUCUGGAACCCAAAUGCCUGAAGGAUGGACUUGCGAACCAGGCACUGCUGUAUUUGACAGACUAGAAAUAUGAGUCUAAAGGACAAGCGUGGACUAUGGCAAG